ensembl:lncRNA
UGCAAGUCUUGCAUCUGGCACUGCGGGGCCAUGCAACACUGGCACCCGGCACUGCAGGGCCAUGCAAGUCUUGCACCCGGCACUGCAGGGCCAUGCAACACUGGCACCCAGCACUGCAGGGCCAUGCAAGUCUUGCACCCGGCACUGCAGGGCCAUGCAACACUGGCACCCGGCACUGCAGGGCCAUGCAAGUCUUGCAUCUGGCACUGCGGGGCCAUGCAAGUCUUGCAUCUGGCACUGCAGGGCCAUGCAACACUGGCACCCGGCACUGUGGGUACAUGCAAGUCUUGCACCCGGCACUGCAGGGCCAUGCAAGACUCGCACGCGGCACUGCAGGGCCAUGCAAGACUGGCAGCCGGUGCUGCAGGGCAGUGUGGGGCUUGCACCCAGUGCUGCAGGGCCACAUGAGACUUGCACCUGGUGCUGCAGUGCCACAUGAAGCUGGCAUCCAGCACUGCAGUGCCACAUGAGACUUGCACUUAGCACUGCAGGGCUGUGCAAGACUCGCACCCAGCACUGCAGGGCCGUGCAAGACCCGCACCCAGCACUGCAGCACCGUGCAAGACUCGCACCCAGCACUGCAGGGCUGUGCAAGACCCGCACCCAGCACUGCAGCACCGUGCAACACUCGCAUCCAGCACUGCAGGGCCAUGCAAGACCUGCACCUAGCACUGCAGGGCUGUGCAACACUUGCUCCCAGCACUGCAGGGCCGUGCAAGACUCGCACCCAGCACUGCAGCGCCGUGCAAGACCUACACCCGGCGCUGUGCGACCACGCGGGACCCAGACGCGGAGCCAAACCGGAGCCCGCGGAAGGGGGCUCAGAGCUGCCUGGGGCCGGGAGGCGCAAGGGCCACAUCCUGCCUCCCUCCUUUGCCAGAAGGUGAUGCUCAGCCAGCCGGUGCCCGGCCGGGCCCGAAGCCGCCCCGCGGCCAAAACGCCCCUUGAGAAAAACGCCCGCGGGGCGCCAGCUCGCCCCGCGCCGGCCCCAGCACCCGCGCCUCGGGGCUUCACGCACAGUUUAACGGGGCCUUCAACCCCUCUUAGCACCAGCGCGACGGCGAGACGGGGGGCGCCCCGGGGCCGCCCCCGCCUGCCGCCGCCUCCUUGGGUCCUAGCACCUCUCCGAGCGCCCCCGCAAGCCGCCGGCGAGGCUUGCUGCGAAUUAGCCAGCACCCCGCAGCGAGCGGCCGGCGGCUCGGCGGGAGCGCGGGCGCCGGGCCGGCACCAUUCACAGUUACGGGAAGAGACGGCGGCGGGGGGGCCGGAGACCCUCUCUGAGCCUCCCCCGCGCCUUAGCACCAGUCCCUGCGGCUUCUCCCAACGGAGCCCCCUGCGCUCCCGCGCCGGGGGGGGCGCGAUCCGGCCGCCCUGCCGGCACGAUGCCCCACGUCCCUGCUCCGCGGCGGAUGAGCCCGCGCAAACCCCGGCAAUGUCCCGCGGCAUCUGCCAGACAUGCGAUGCCCGGGAGCUAUCGCCGCCCUGGUCGCCCCCACGCUGCCACCGCGCCGGUGCUGGGGGGGGGGGGGGACGCCGGGUCCCCGCUGCACUGCCGGCGCCUCUUGCACGCUGCGACCGGGCACCGCUCGCUCCCGCCGCGGCAUCGCCCGAGCCAGAGCACCGCGGGACCCGCAGGGCACAGCCCGGCCUCGCGCCCACGGGUGGCACAGCCCCACGGGGCGCCGGGCGCCCUGCAAAGCGGCGCAACCCCACAGGGCGCUGGGCACCCUGCAAAGCGGUGCAACCCCGCGGGGUGCUGAGUGCCCUGCAAAGAGGUGCAACCCUGCGGGGCACCAAGCGCCCUGCAAAGCGGGUGCAACCCCGCAGGGUGCCGAACGCCUCGCAAAGCGGUGCAACCCCGCGGGGUGCCGGGUGCCCCGCAAAGCCUGCCGCAGGUCCCCACUCUUGCAGCACCCGCUGUCACCGCAGGAGCAGGCAGGGGCCCCUGGCCCAUGCACUGGGGUGCCAUGUCUGUGGAAAAGGGGGGGGGGGGCCGGGACAGCCGCCGGUGCAGGGCACCGAGGGCAGCAGGGCCCGAGCAAACGGUGAUGGGAGAGGAUUGCUUAGUCUGCUUUGAAAGCACGCUCAGAAAGGAGGAAAACGGCUCCCCGAACAGCCCCGUGCAGCAAAAGAAGUCAAACCCGAGAGCAGACGGCGGGGAGCCGGCGAGCUGCCGGGGGGGCCCUGGGCACGGCCACCAAGGGCCGCAGCAGCACGGGGCACGCGGCCCCCCCGGCACCAGCACCGUCCCUGCCCGCCUGGCGCCUGGCACAGCCCCGUUGCCGUCACCACUGACCGACCAGCCCGAGAUGUAGCACCAGCGCCCGAGAUGUAGCACCAGGGCCCGACGGCCCGCAACGCACCUACCGUCCCCUCCUAGCCGCUCUCAGCCACCGCCGGCGAUGCCGGCCCUCGUGCCGGCACCGCUCUCCGCAUCCCGCCCUGCCUGCGUCCCUGCCUGCGUCCCUGCCAGGCUCGGCACUGCCGCAGCCCCCCGGCUUGUGGCCCCAGCCUGGUUUUUGCAGCACCCUGUGCCGGGGAACCUGGUCCUGCGCCGCCCCGGCAGGCAGCACCUGCAGGCAGCAGCAGGCAGGUGUGGGAGGGAGCAGCCCGCUCACCCCGCGGCGGAGAGGGGCAUCUGCACCGGCACCAGCCUCACCGCUCCGGCACCAGCAUCAACGCACCAGCAUCAGCGUCACCGUGCCAGCGCCAGCCUCUCCAUGCUGGCAUCAACCUCACCGUGCACCCCGCGGCAGAGAUGGGCGUCUGCACCAGCACCAGCCUCAACCAUGCCAGCGCCAGCCUCGCCGUGCCGGCAUCAACCUCACCGUGCACCCUGCGACAGAGACAGGCGUCUGCACCAGCACCAGCCUCUCCAUGGCAGCAUCAGCCUCACCGUGCCGGCACCAGCCUCUGCCCCGGCACUAGCCUCACCGCGCACCCCGUGGUGCAGACAGGCAUCUGCAUCGGCACCAGCCUCACCGUGCACCCUAUGGUGCAGACAGGCAUCUGCAUCGGCACCAGCCUCACCGCGCACCCCGUGGUGCAGACAGGCAUCUGCAUCGGCACCAGCCUCA